CUGCUAUCGGAUGAUACUAAGCCAUGCGAGUCUUUGUAGUAAUACAAGGCAUACGGCUCAGUAACACGUAGUCAACCUACCCUAUGGACAAGAAUAAUCUCGGGAAACUGGGCAUAAUUCUUGAUAGAUCAUAAUGCCUGGAAUGGUUUAUGGUUAAAAUGAUUCGUCGCCAUAGGAUGGGACUGCGGCCUAUCAGCUUGUUGGUGAGGUAAUGGCCCACCAAGGCGAUUACAGGUACGGGCUCUGAGAGGAGAAGCCCGGAGAUGGGUACUGAGACACGGACCCAGGCCCUAUGGGGCGCAGCAGGCGAGAAAACUUUGCAAUGUGCGAAAGCACGACAAGGUUAAUCCGAGUGAUUUCUGCUAAAGAAAUCUUUUGCUAGUCAUAAAACCACUGGUGAAUAAGGGGUGGGCAAGUUCUGGUGUCAGCCGCCGCGGUAAAACCAGCACCUCAAGUGGUCAGGAUGAUUAUUGGGCCUAAAGCAUCCGUAGCCGGCUUUGUAAGUUUUCGGUUAAAUCCAUGUGCUCAACGCAUGGGCUGCCGAAAAUACUGCAUGGCUAGGGAGUGGGAGAGGUAGACGGUACUCAGUAGGAAGGGGUAAAAUCCUUUGAUCUAUUGAUGACCACCUGUGGCGAAGGCGGUCUACCAGAACACGUUCGACGGUGAGGGAUGAAAGCUGGGGGAGCAAACCGGAUUAGAUACCCGGGUAGUCCCAGCUGUAAACGAUGCAGACUCGAUGAUGCAUUGGCAUAAUAGCCAGUGCAGUGUCGCAGGGAAGCCGUUAAGUCUGCCGCCUGGGAAGUACGUACGCAAGUAUGAAACUUAAAGGAAUUGGCGGGGGAGCACCACAAGGGGUGAAGCCUGCGGUUCAAU
rnacentral:rRNA from 1 species